GACGAACGCUGGCGGCGUGCUUAACACAUGCAAGUCGAACGGAAAGGCCCUGCUUUUUUGGGGUGCUCGAGUUGCGAACGGGUGAGUAACACGUGAGUAACCUGCCCUUGACUUUGGGAUAACUUCAGGAAACUGGGGCUAAUACCGGAUAGGAGCUCCUGCUGCAUGGUGGGGGUUGGAAAGUUUCGGCGGUUGGGUAUGGUCUCGCGGCUUAUGAGCUUGUUGGUGGGGUAGUUGCUUACCAAGGCUUUGACGGGUAGCCGGCCGGAGAGGGUGACCGGCCAAAAGGGGAGUGAGAGACGGCACAGACUAAUACGGGAGGAAGGAGGGGGGAGUGAAGCACAAGGGACGGAAGAGUGAUGAAGGAACGCCGGGUGCGGGAAGAAGGCAUUCGGGAGGAAAGCCGAUUUCGCGUGUGAGGAAGGGUGAGGGCGGGAAAUGGGUAAAGAGGCACGGGUAAAUUAGGG
rnacentral:rRNA from 1 species